AAAAAGGGGUGAAAAGAACAAAGAUUUGUCCAUCUUUGUUCAUCAUAGCCUAAAGUUAGAGAAGAGAAAGGAGAGCAGAAAGCUCUUGAAUGUUCGGUCACUUGGGGAAGAAAAUUGAAGGUAAGUUCAUGGUAGUUUGCUUCUAUCUUGAUGUUCAUGAGUUCUUCUUGAUUCUACCUUAACUCUUGAAGCAUAUUUUGGUUUUUAGUUGUGCUGUGAGCAUUUGGUCAUGAAUUAAAAUGAAGGAAAUGGUUGUUGUUUCAUGUUCUUUUGAUGAAAAAUGGAAGAUAGGUGAAGUUGAGCCAAACAAAUGAGCAUGCAUGUGCCUUAGAUGCUAAGGGGAAAAAUCGGCUAACAUGUUGUGCUUUAAAAUGAUGAAAUAGAGACUAUACUUAAGUGAACUUAUAGAUAUGUGAUGAUUGAUUGGUGAUAUACAUGUUUAAAUAACAUGCAUGCAAGUUAUGUGUGAAAGAGUGAAUUUGGUAAUAAAUCUGCUUGGGACAACAGCAAUAAUGUGACUUUGGAAAAUCACCAUAAAUUCUGGGAGAUGAAUUAAAAGCUGAAUAAAUUAUUUAAUUAAAGCUUGUUGAUUCUAGUUUCAAAUGAAAUAAACGAGAACAUAUUUUGAAUUCUGUACAAUGAGAAAUUUGAUUCGUAAUGAAGAGUGGUCAGAUUAGUCAAACAGUGAAACAUGGGAAACUUUAAGAAAAAUCUGGUAUUGAUUGGCCAUACCAAAAAUUCUAAAAAUUUUAUGGAUAGAAGAUAUAUGAGUCUAUUUUCAGGGAAAAUUAACGGCACUUGAUUUGGAGUUUCGUAGCUCUAGUUAUAAAUGAUUUAGUGACUGUUGCUCAGGAAGACAGCUUGCAGUGAAAUUAUGAUUAUGUGGUAAACAUUGACAAAAAUUUGUUAAUGAGUUGCUUAUUGUUUUCUUAUAAGCUUACUAUGAUCUGUAGGUGUGGUUGGCCGAAUAUUGUAAAGGGUUAAUACGUAGUUCGUAUUUGAAUAGUUAGAUUAAUGUGUUAGUAAUCCAAUUGUAGGCAGUUCGUGUGUGGAUCUCGUCAGCAUAUCGUCGCAAACAGGUGUGUAACUAACACCCUCUUUCUUAGUCUAGAUUGGCAAAAGUCGAAAAGCCGAAAUGCCAAAAACCGGUAUUUUGUAGAUUUGCGAGUGUGCGAAUGCUCGUGAGGUAAAUCGAUUAAUGUUUUUGGUAAGCUGCAAAAUUUGGAUUGCAAAGUGCAUGAUUUUUGUGCCCUCGAUAUUUUUGGGCUUAAUGGGCCAAAAUUAGAAUGAUGGGCCAACGGGCCCAAUUCGGUAAGAACCCUCGGUACGUAAUUCUGUUAGUACGUGAAAAGUAGGAAUAUGCAUGAAAAACCCUAAAAUAGAUAAAUUACUGAAAUACCUUUAAAAGUAGAAAAUUUACAGUUUUACCCCUAGUAGAUAAAUUACCGAAAUACCCCUAGGGUUAAAUUGACCUAAAUGCAUGUUUGACUGUUGUUAUUUACUGCAUGCCAUGUUGUUAUUAUCUGAUGCAUGGGAUUGGGAUAUUGACGGAGGAAGUACUGAAAGUGGCUUGUCCACGUACUGGAGGCUUUGCCUCAAUUUACUGUUAAUUGAGCAGCAAUGCUGCAACUGUGGAGUGAUGGGCUGGGUGGGUUGAGCUAUCCCUACAUGGAGUGUAUGGCUGGUACGGGUGGAGUGUAAUGGUUGGUGGGUUGAGUAGUCUCCCCAAAUGGGCUUGCAUAUGUUUAUUGAUGUUGCAUGUAUUUUGAAAUGGGCCUAUGGGCCAUACUAUUAUCUAAAUAAGGGGCUAAGGCCCAGUUUAUUGUAAUCUGAAAAGGGCUCUAACCCAGUAUCACUGUUACCUGAAUAGGCUUAGGCCCAAUAGGCUUGAGCUGACUUGGGCUUUGAAUGGGUUUUCCUUACACACUGAGUUUCCCCAAACUCACCCUUUUAUUUUCAUCCACGCAGGAAAUCCCCAACCAUAGUGGGCUUGGAGCUGUUAGGGAAUUCGGAGUGGCCACCCGUUCUGAAAGUUUGAUUUUCUUCUGGUGAACUGGAUAUCCUUUUAUUUACGUUUGAAGUUUUGGGUUUUUAAAUGUAAUAAGGCCGCUUAAUUAUUUUUGAUGGUUUUAAUAUGUAUUACUAUGAUAGGUAAUACUUAUUUUAAUUGUUGAAAUUAGAUAGCUUUAGGGCUCGUUUUCAAAAACAACAGUUGAUUUCAAAAUAACACGACAACAAGCAAAGCUUCCGCAAUGAAAGUAUUUUCCAAAAUUAAUCACUUUUCCUAAAAAUGACUUAAUCAAAUCGGUUUCCUAGAAAUAUCCAUGACGUUAAGGUGUGGCAAUGGCGGUAUGCAUGUCUAGGAUUGGAUCCGAAGGGAGCUUGGUACUUAAGCAGUCCGAUGGACUCACCACCUCUUUUCCGGUUUCCUACCUGGUGCACAGCUUCCAUUCACUUUAACCUUUAAUGAAUUAAUCUUUU
rnacentral:lncRNA from 1 species